AACGAACGCUGGCGGCAGGCUUAACACAUGCAAGUCGAACGCCCCGCAAGGGGAGUGGCAGACGGGUGAGUAGCGCGUGGGAAUCUACCUAGUUCUACGGAACAACUGAGGGAAACUUCAGCUAAUACCGUAUACGCCCUAAGGGGGAAAGAUUUAUCGGAAUUAGAUGAGCCCGCGUUGGAUUAGCUAGUUGGUGGGGUAAUGGCCUACCAAGGCGACGAUCCAUAGCUGGUCUGAGAGGAUGAUCAGCCACACUGGGACUGAGACACGGCCCAGACUCCUACGGGAGGCAGCAGUGGGGAAUAUUGGACAAUGGGCGCAAGCCUGAUCCAGCCAUGCCGCGUGAGUGAUGAAGGCCUUAGGGUUGUAAAGCUCUUUCAGUGGGGAAGAUAAUGACGGUACCCACAGAAGAAGCCCCGGCUAACUUCGUGCCAGCCGCCGCAGUAACAC
rnacentral:rRNA from 1 species